rnacentral:lncRNA from 1 species
CUACUAAUUCCUUAACAACUGAUGAAGAGUCAUGGUCCUUGUCUUCAACAAGCUUGCAAAGACAUACACAAGAAGAGACCAGAGCUGCCUACAUGGGAUCAAGUCACAGACAUAAAUAGAAUCUAAGAAUCUGAUAGUUGGGAGUCGCAAUGAGUCCAACCUCCCACCUAAUAAGAAAUUAACUGCGUCAGACUCUUAAAAGAUGGCUUCUGUAUGAGAUUGUCAAUUGAUGACAGAUACACUUCACCAAAAAGGUUGUUGGUGGCAACCUUCCCAAUUUAGUUCAUGGAGAUGGACUGUGACAGGAUUACCGGAGAAAUGGAAACCACCUGGAGAUCAAGAAGUGCUAAAUUCCAUCUAGACACAAAUCAGAGUCAUCAUCUUGCCUCAAACUCCUCAGGAAAAAGAGUUUUUAACACCCUUCUGUUUUUCAGCUGUUUUUCCCCCCUUUGUUUUACUUAGGACAGUUUUUCUCACUGUAUCUUCAAGUUUAUUGACCUGUUAUUCAGCAGUUUUGAGUUGGCUAAGCCCACCCAGUCAUUUCUUUUUCCAUUUCAGGCACUGUAUUUUUCCACUCUACCAGUUCCAUUUUUUAAAAAUAUUCUGUAAUUUUUAAAUCUGUAAAAAUCUUAAUAUGUUUGUAAUUCCUUAAAAUCCUUGAUUAUAUCUAUAAUAGCUAUUUUAAAGCCUUUGUCUACUUAUUCUAUCAUUAUCUAUUAUUGAUGUGUCUGUUUCUUUUGUGUGAUUUUUCUAUUGGUUAUGUGUUACAUUAAACUGCUUCAUCACAUAUUCACUGAGUUUUGAUUGGUUGCUGGACACUGUAAUGCGAUAUUAUUGGCUAUCUAGAUUUUGCUUUAUUCCUUCACAAAGACUUGAUAUUUUUCAAAGUAUCUGUGCCUCAGCCUGAUCCUUUUGAGGCUUAUUUUUAAGUGUGGUUAAAGUGGGUCAAAAGUAUCUGUUACUUUGAGGCUAUUUUGGGUCCACUCCUGAGGCCUGACUAUUUUGGUGUCUUUACUGAAUGCCCUGGGUGCUAAAAGAAUUUCUUUCUACUCUAGCAGUUGAAAAUCUCUCUCAGACCUGUGUGAGUCCUGGGAAUUGCUCAGUAUACAGCUUCCUGGCAGUUGUUCUCUGUCUGGUCUCAUGGAAAUUUACCCUAUAAAUGUUUGGUGUAACAUACAGUCAAAGAUCCAGGGAAUCAAUGUGUAGAUUUCUGGAGCUCUCUUUUCUAUGUAGCCCUCUUCUCUUAUUCUUCUCCACAAAUUCCAGUUGGUGAGCGUUCAUGAAUUCAGUAUCUUCAUCUCAAUAAGGCUACUGUGAUAUGCUGGGAUUGCUUCUUCCUGCACCACAGCCCUGGAAUUGCCCCCAGGGAGAAAUCCUGGGUGAUCACAGGAUUCACCUCAUUGAUUUCCCUUUUCUCACUCCUUAACUGCCUGCUCUCUACUGUCUGUCUGAGAGCUUAUUUAAUGUGUUUUCCUAGUUUUUUUAUAGAAGAAAAAAUAAUUCUAGAACCAAUAACUUCGUCAUGGCUCAAUAAAUUAUUUUAAUGAAUAUUAGGUAGGGUGAAGAUAUAAUAUAUUGUACAUACUGUCUCACUUAAUAGAAAGGAAGGAGUACCAUUAAUCAUUAUCUGAGAUAAUAGAUGAAAAUUGGAUUUAUUUUAGGAAAAACAAGAUAAAAUCUUACCUUAUUUUUAAAAAAAAAUAGAUUAUGUGGCUGUUGGGUGGAAAAUAGAUUGGAAUGAUAGAAAUAAGACUGGGAACGGGAAAACUAGUUAGCAGUCCACUGUAGAGAUGACUGUGGCCAGGACUAUACUGAUAUUUGUAGAAAUGGUAGAAAAGUGAAUGUAUUUGAGAUAGUUUAGAGACUGUAUUACAGAUGAAUUGAAUGGUGAGUGAUGAAUGGAGAAAAGAAGCUAAGCAAAGAUUAAAGUUUCUCAGCUAUGCUUAUUGGAAUCACAUGUUUCCAUUUACUGACAGGGAAUUCUGGCAGAAGAAAAAGUUUCAGAGGAAAAACUGACCAUUCCGAUAUUUAACAUAAUGAAUUAUAUAUGCUUGGUAGGCAUCUUAGUAUGCAUAAAAUAUACAACUAUAAAUGUUGGAUGUGGUGUGGUAAAGUCAGUGUGGCCACAGUAGGAAAUGAGAAUGAGGCUUGAAAGGAAGAGGUUUCCCAUGGCUGGGGGGCGGAGAGGAGAGUUGUCACUGAAUGCCACAGAGGAUCAAAGGGGAAACACCAGGUUUAGUGAGGCAACAAGAAUGAGGGAAAAGUCUAGGCCAGAGCCUUAAUUGGAGUUUCUGUGGGAAAGGCAAGGCCAGUAGAAUAAAUAGCUUAGAAAUGUCAAAUAUGAAUAAUUCCAGUGGACCUUGGCUAUCAUGGUGGUCUCCAGUUGCCUGAAAGUUGGCUCUGCGAUGAGUUAGUCAAAGGCAAAUAUUAUUAGCUUGGUGUGUGAGAGUUUGAUAAGAAGUGGAUGGGGCUAAAUCCUCAGGCUUGGUUGAUUGUGCUCCCAGUCUUUCCUAAUUCUAAGAAUGGGCUAGCCCAGAAGGGGCAGUCUCUCCAUAGCUAGCAAGAUUUUUCAGAUGUCCAAAGAUCAUAAAAUAGGGAAAAGAAAAAACAUGGCUAGUACAAUAAAGAUACUCAAGUUUGAGGAUUUGGGGAGAGAUCAGAAAUUCAGAUAUAAAUAUUUAGUCAAUGGCUUAUAGCUUGCAAUUGAAGCCAUGGAAGACUGAGAUGAUUUCAGAAGAGUAUUUAGAUAGGGAAAAGGUGAGAUCUCAGGACAUAUUCCAAAGGAACUCCAACUCUGGAGGAUAAGAAAGAGGAACUGCAAGGACACAGAGAAGAAAAAAGUCAGAGGUAGGAAGAAAAUAAGAAGGACAGGGUAUCAUGAAAUCCAGAGUAAGAGAAUAUUUUAAAAAGAGGGGCAUGCUACAAGAAACCACAGCCUAGGUGUUGAUAGAUGCUAACAAUUAAAACAACAUAUUGAAUAAAGAUGGUUUAAUCACCACAUACUCUGGAGUACAAAGGAGGGAAGGACCUUUAUCAUUUGUGUGUUCAUGUUUACCCUUCCGAUGCUAAUUUAAUAAAAUGCAUUUAGUUCUAUAAAAAAACAGGGGUAUGCUACACUUCACUAAAUGUUGUAAAAGAUGAAACCGAAUUGAUACAUAAGAGAAUGUAUUUGAUUUUGAAUUAUGGAGGUCACUGGUGACGUUGCUAAGUUUAGGCCGUGGCCAGAUUUGAAUAGGUUUAAGAAAAAUGGAUGGUGCAAUAAUAAGUGAAGUGUAAGAAACUCUUAGAAAUUGAGGGGUGGGCAGUAAGUCAAAGGAGUAGUGGGUAGAGAGGACAGGUCAAAUAAUAAGUUUUUAAUGUUGUAAUAUACUACAACAUAUUGAAUUGCUGAUGGAAAAGAUCCUAUAUACUGGGAGAGGUUGAACACAUAGGAUAAAAGAAUGAAAUAUUCCUUAAAAGUGGUAGGGGAUAAGAUCGAGGAUAUGAGUGGAAGAAUUAGGACAGGAAGUGGGGUGCAUCCUCUACUGUAGAGGCAGGACAUCAGAAUACUUGAGACUACAGCUUAGGUUCAGAAUGCAAUCUGCUCUUUUCAAAUCAAAGCUCCUAAGCCUUUCUGUGUAACUUUGGGCAAGUUAAUUCAUCUAUUUGUCUUUUAGCGUCCUUACUGGUGAAAGGAGGCAAUCAUUAUAGUAUUGACCGCACAAAGUGGUCCCAAGUACUGAAGGAAACUCACCUCAGACAAUGCCUGUGUGUGCAUACCCAGACACGCACAGAGCUUAACACAGUGCCCUGCAGUAAGGAUUAAGUAAAUUUUAGACAUCAUAUAAUAGAACAAAAGAGUAUUUGUGCAUUGCAAAAAGACCAGCCUGAUCUAAAAUCCGAGGUUGUUUAUUUACUAUCUUCACCAGAUAGCUCUGACUGUGAACUUACACUUUUGAAGAAGUUGGAGUAUAAGUACUUAUAUACAGAUCCAUGAUGGAAAUUGCCAUCUAAAGCAGUGCUACUCAAACUCUAGAUACAAAUGCUUGUCCAAGAACUGUUUAAUGCUGGUCUGUGAUGAGUAUAUAAGUUAAGAGGAACUGUUAAAAAAAAGGUUUAUGAUAAAGUUUAUAUGUCUUGAAAUAAUAAUAAUUUUAAAAUUAGGCUUGGAUCAUUUCUUUGUUUUUAUACAUUUCAUAUUAAUGCAUUUUAUUGGAUUUUUAAAAAUUGUUAACCCAUACUUAAUUAGAAAAACAUAAACAAACCCUGUUCCAACUGUACAAAUAACUUGAGAAGUGCAGAAUAAAGCAUAAAACCUAAUGCCCUUUUUCAAAGGGUUGUUGGAAAACCCACAUUUAUGUGCUUGUUUUUUGUGCACAAAUGAUGGCUAGAGAUUAUAAAAGAGUAAGACACAAUUGCUUACUUACAGGUAUGUAAAUCUAGUAUUUCUAGUAUAAUCUAAGUAUGUAAUGUACACAAAUAUGACAGUCACAUAAUUAUAAAACAGAAUAUUAACCUAGUUAAAAUUGCACUAAUUAAAAGAGACUGCCUGGAAAAAAUCAAUGCCCAUUUUUUGGAGGAGUUAAAUGAUGACCAAUACAUCAAUGUGGCUUGGGAUUGGAUUCGAAUUUUAAUAUUCCUUAAAGAUGUACAGUUGGGAAAAUUCAUUAAACUAUUAAUGCAACCAAUAUUUAUUGAAAACUCAAUAAUCGACCACCGUUAUACUGUUAAAAACAUAGCAGUGAAUGAGAUACCUUUGGUUUCUGUCAAAGAAUUUUUAAAAAUGCAUUGGACUACUUUAUUUGAGGAAAUGAUAAAUGCCAUGUUGAAGAUCUGAGGGAGUUCCUGUCUUGGCGCAGCAGAAACAAAUCCGACUAGGAACCAUGAGGUUGAGGGUUCAAUCCCUGGCCUUGCUCAGUGGGUUCAGGAUCUGGCGUUGCCGUGACCUGUGGUGUAGGUCACAGACGUGGCUCGGAUUUGGCAUUGCUGUGGCUCUGGCUUAGGCUGGAGGCUACAGCUCUGGUUAGACCCCUAGCCUGGGAACUUCCAUAUGCCAUGGGUGUGGCCCUAAAAGAACAAAAAGAAAAAAAUCUGAGAAGGGCAGUCUGGGAUGCUAUUUUCCAUAGGAUGAUGACUGAAAGACUCUCUGAUAAGGAGAGCUUUGCACAGAGACCUGAACAAAAGGAGGGAUUGGCUAUGCAGUUUAGGAAAAGAGUGUUCCAGAAAUGUGGAAUAGCUAGUGCAAAGUCUGGAGAUGGGAAUACAUGCACUGUAUUUAAAGAUCAACAAUGAGGGCUUUACAACUGGUGAAAAACAAGUCAAGAGAAGAGGAGUGAAAGAUGAGGUCAGAACUCAGAUUUGUAGUGUAUCUUACGCUAGGCGGGGAUUUUGGUUUUUUGGUUUUUGUUGCUUUUACUUUUAUUUAAAUAGGAAGCCACUGGAGAUUUUUAGCAGCAUCACGUGAUUUACCUUACACUUUAAGAAUUCUGAGUAGCACUGAGAACUAUGUCUAGAUACUCAUAUUGCAACAGAACAAAGGGUGGGGAAAAAAUGUAUACAUGUAAGAGUAACUUGAUCCCCAUGCUGUACAGUGGGGAAAAAAAAAAGAAUUCUUCUGUUUUUUGAAAAUGUAGUAGGCAAAUGAAGAGGCAAGGAGAAUAGUGAAGAGACUGCUGUAACAGUCCAGGUGAGAUAUUAUGGCUAAAUAAGCGCAGACAUCAGGAGGGCCUGAGUGUCAGCGGUGGUGAGAAGGGGUAGGUUUUGACCACCACACAAAUCUGUCUAUAAUUUGGACCUGAUGUAUUUUUCUGGUAUCAAUUUGUAUUAUGUCUUGCCCAAUGACCAUGAUGACAUCAAUAAUAAUAAAAACUAAUGAAUG